rnacentral:rRNA from 1 species
ACUCCUACGGGAGGCAGCAGUGGGGAAUAUUGCACAAUGGGCGCAAGCCUGAUGCAGCCAUGCCGCGUGUGUGAAGAAGGCCUUCGGUUGUAAAGCACUUUCAGUUGUGAGGAAGGUGGUGUCGUUAAUAGCGGCAUCAUUUGACGUUAGCAACAGAAGAAGCACCGGCUAACUCCGUGCCAGCAGCCGCGGUAAUACGGAGGGUGCGAGCGUUAAUCGGAAUUACUGGGCGUAAAGCGCAUGCAGGUGGUUUGUUAAGUCAGAUGUGAAAGCCCGGGGCUCAACCUCGGAACUGCAUUUGAAACUGGCAGACUAGAGUACUGUAGAGGGGGUAGAAUUUCAGGUGUAGCGGUGAAAUGCGUAGAGAUCUGAAGGUAAUACCGGUGGCGAAGGCGGCCCCCUGGACAGAUACUGACACUCAGAUGCGAAAGCGUGGGGAGCAAACAGGAUUAGAUACCCUGGUAGCACAGAG